rnacentral:rRNA from 1 species
AUGGAGGCAGGAGUGGUGAGCGUGUCGCAUGGCGCCAUUGGCUUCGUGAUUGCGAAGCUUGGUGAUCUGCUCGCUGGCAAGUACAAGCUGCUGAAACAAGCCAAAGGCGAGAUAAUGUUCCUUAAAGCUGAGCUCGAGAGUAUGCGAGCAUUCCUGGAGAGGAUGUCGGAGGCGGAGGAGGAGCCCGACAAGCAAGCCAAGUGCUGGGCAAACGAGGUGCGUGAUCUGUCCUAUGACAUCGAGGACAGCGUCGAUGAGUUCAUGCUCCUGGUGGAAGGUGAGUCCAACGGCGAGCCCCAUGGGUUUAAGGGGUUCAUUCAUAGGAGCAUGAACUUGUUGACGACGAUGAACACUCGGCAAAAGGUCGCCAAGGAGUUCCAAGGCCUCAAGAGCCGUGUCAUGGAGGUGAGCGAGCGACGCAUGAGGUACAAGAUUGAUGAUGCUGUCUCAAAGCCAAACAAUUCAACCAUAGACAUUCGCAUGCUGGCACUCUAUGCGGACACAUCGGGCCUUGUGGGUAUCGAUGGCCUGAGGGAUGAAUUAAUACACCUGAUGGUGGGUGAAGAGGGUGUUUCUGCACAACAGAGGAAGGUCCUCUCUAUAGUGGGAUUUGGAGGGCUCGGUAAGACUACACUUGCGAACCAGAUUUACCACAGGCUAAAGUGGCAGUACGAGUGUCAGGCUUUCGUUUCCGUGUCCCAGAAACCAAACAUACGAAUGAUUCUGAGAAGAAUGCUCUCUCAAGUUGGCUAUGUAGCGCUGGAGGGAACCAACAUGGAAAUAUGGGCAGAGGAUGAACUGAUCAGUGCACUCAGACAAUUCCUUAUGGAUAAGAGGUACUUGAUUGUAAUUGAUGACAUUUGGGAUGAAACUACAUGGAAUGUUAUUAGAUGUGCUCUUCCAAAAAAUUUGGACGGUAGCAUGAUAAUAACAACUACCCGAAAAACUGUGGCUAGAGCUUGCUGCUGCAACCAGCAUGACUAUGUUUAUAAGAUGAAGUCACUAAGCAACGAAGACUCAAGAAAGCUAUUUUUCAACAGAGUAUUUGGUUCAGAGGAAGCCUGCCCUCUGUAUUUGGAAGAAGUUUCAGCUCAGAUUUUAAAAAGGUGUGCUGGCUUGCCUCUUGCAAUUGUGACUAUAUCUAGCCUUUUGGCUAGUGAGCAAAACACAUUGAAGGAGAAUUGGGUGCAUAUAAAGAAUUCAUUGGGCCCCAAUUUCGAGGUGAAUCCAACAUUGGAAGGAAUGAGGCAAAUACUGAGCCUUAGUUACAUAAAUCUUCCUCAUUAUUUGAAGACAUGCAUGCUAUAUUUGGGUAUGUAUCCAGAGGACUAUAUAAUCUGGAAAAAUGAUUUGGUCAGGCAAUGGAUAGCCCAAGGUUUUGUAAGUAAAGUACAUGGGCAAUAUCCAGAGGCUAUUGCAGAGGGCUAUUUUAACGAGCUUGUUAACAGGGGCAUCAUUCAACCAGUUGAUACAGAUCAUAACAAUGAAGUGUUAUCUUGCAAAGUGCAUGAUAUGAUCCUCGACCUUAUUGUACACAAGUGCAGAGAUGAAAAUUUUAUAAUUGCGACACAUGACAUCCAAGCCAUGAUAAGUUUGUCUGGCAAGGUCCGCAGGCUCUCCCUCUAUCUGGAUGGUAUAAUAGAUGGCACCAUAUUGGAGACCGCCCAACUCUCACAAGUAAGAGCACUGGCGAGAUUCGGUACCUCUGCAUAUGCACCUCCUCUCUUGAAGUUCAACCAUCUUCGAGUUUUAACUCUUGAAUUUACAAGUGGAAACCAUGGGUCGGAGAUACCUGACCUCACUGGAAUAUCUCAUUUGUUCCAUCUGAGGUAUCUAAAAAUAAAAGCGGAUGGU